UGGGGAAUAUUGGACAAUGGGCGAAAGCCUGAUCCAGCCAUGCCGCGUGUGUGAAGAAGGCCUGUUGGCUGUAAAGCACCUUAAGCGAGGAGGAGGCUACUUAGAUUAAUACUCUAGGAUAGUGGACGUUACUCGCAGAAUAAGCACCGGCUAACUCUGUGCCAGCAGCCGCGGUAAUACAGAGGGUGCGAGCGUUAAUCGGAUUUACUGGGCGUAAAGCGUGCGUAGGCGGCUUUUUAAGUCGGAUGUGAAAUCCCUGAGCUUAACUUAGGAAUUGCAUUCGAUACUGGGAAGCUAGAGUAUGGGAGAGGAUGGUAGAAUUCCAGGUGUAGCGGUGAAAUGCGUAGAGAUCUGGAGGAAUACCGAUGGCGAAGGCAGCCAUCUGGCCUAAUACUGACGCUGAGGUACGAAAGCAUGGGGAGCAAACAGG
rnacentral:rRNA from 1 species